rnacentral:rRNA from 1 species
CUGGCUCAGGAUGAACGCUAGCGGCAGGCUUAACACAUGCAAGUCGAGGGGCAUCGGGAGUAGCAAUACGUUGCCGGCGACCGGCGCAAGGGUGCGUAACGCGUGAGCAACAUGCCUGUAUCAGGGGGAUAAUCCAUGGAAACGUGGUCUAAUACCCCAUAGUAAUUAUGUAAGGCAUCUUAUAUAAUUUAAAGCUUUGGUGGAUACGGAUUGGCUCGCGUGACAUUAGCUAGAUGGUAAGGUAACGGCUUACCAUGGCUACGAUGUCUAGGGGUUCUGAGAGGAAGGUCCCCCACACUGGAACUGAGACACGGUCCAGACUCCUACGGGAGGCAGCAGUGAGGAAUAUUGGUCAAUGGACGGAAGUCUGAACCAGCCAUGCCGCGUGCAGGAAGACGGCUCUAUGAGUUGUAAACUGCUUUUGUACGAGGGUAAACGCAGAUACGUGUAUCUGUCUGAAAGUAUCGUACGAAUAAGGAUCGGCUAACUCCGUGCCAGCCGCCGC